rnacentral:rRNA from 1 species
GACGAACGCUGGCGGCGUGCCUAAUACAUGCAAGUCGAGCGCAGGAAACUGACGGAACUCUUCGGAGGGAAGGCAGUGGAAUGAGCGGCGGACGGGUGAGUAACACGUAAGGAACCUGCCUCAAGGAUUGGGAUAACUCCGAGAAAUCGGAGCUAAUACCGGAUAGUUCAACGGACCGCAUGGUCCGCUGAUGAAAGGCGCUCCGGCGCCACCUUGAGAUGGCCUUGCGGUGCAUUAGCUAGUUGGGGGGGUAACGGCCCACCAAGGCGACGAUGCAUAGCCGACCUGAGAGGGUGAGCGGCCACACUGGGACUGAGACACGGCCCAGACUCCUACGGGAGGCAGCAGUAGGGAAUCCUCCACAAUGGACGAAAGUCUGAUGGAGCAACGCCGCGUGAGUGAUGAAGGUUUUCGGAUCGUAAAACUCUGUUGUAAGGGAAGAACACGUACGAGAGGGAAUGCUCGUACCUUGACGGUACCCUACGAGAAAGCCACGGCUAACUACGUGCCAGCCGCCGCCGUAAAAC